CGUGUAGGCGGUCUAUCGAGUCAGGCGUGAAAGCCCCGGGCUUAAUCUGGGAACUGCGUUUGAUACUGAUAGACUAGAGGUUGGAAGAGGAGAGUGGAAUUCCCAGUGUAGAGGUGAAAUUCGUAGAUAUUGGGAAGAACACCAGUGGCGAAGGCGGCUCUCUGGUCCAUACCUGACGCUGAGGCGCGAAAGCGUGGGGAGCAAACAGGAUUAGAUACCCUGGUAGUCC
rnacentral:rRNA from 1 species